rnacentral:rRNA from 1 species
GAUGAACGCUAGCGGCAGGCUUAACACAUGCAAGUCGAGGGGUAUAGUUCUUCGGAGCUAGAGACCGGCGCACGGGUGCGUAACGCGUAUGCAAUCUACCUUUUGCAGAGGGAUAGCCCAGAGAAAUUUGGAUUAAUACCUCAUAGUAUGUGAGAAUGGCAUCAUUUUAACAUUAAAGUCACAACGGCAAAAGAUGAGCAUGCGUCCCAUUAGCUUGUUGGUAAGGUAACGGCUUACCAAGGCAACGAUGGGUAGGGGUCCUGAGAGGGAGAUCCCCCACACUGGUACUGAGACACGGACCAGACUCCUACGGGAGGCAGCAGUGAGGAAUAUUGGACAAUGGGCGCAAGCCUGGUCCAGCCAUGCCGCGUGCAGGAUGACGGUCCUAUGGAUUGUAAACUGCUUUUGUACAGGAAGAAACACUGGUUCGUGAACCAGCUUGACGGUACUGUAAGAAUAAGGAUCGGCUAACUCCGUGCCAGCCGCCGCCGUAAAAC